CACACACCAAAAGCACUGCGACACUUGUGAGACCAAACAGCGUCCGGUGGCCACAUCGGCCAUGGCCAAACACUCGCAGCCAGACGACCCAGAGCCGGGGUGCCUGGCCGAGCUAGCAGGCGUCCCAGAGGGAGCCGUGUGGCCAGCACAGGGCCACCUCCGCCGCGUCGCCGACGACGCCGGUGGCCCAGCCCGGCGGGUCCAGGAGCAUGGCCUCCGCCAUCUCGGCCCAGAGGCUGGGCGAGUCCAGGUCCAGCUCGAACUCCUCGUCGCUCCCGAGCUCGACCACCGGCGCCGGCCCGGCCCCGAACUCGUGGUCGUGGUCGUAGUCGUGGCACCGCGCUGCCGCCGCCUGCUGGAGCAGCAGCAGCGCCGGGUCGCAGCGCACGCGGU
rnacentral:misc_RNA from 1 species